UACGAAGGGUGCAAGCGUUACUCGGAAUUACUGGGCGUAAAGGGUGCGUAGGUGGUUGUUUAAGUCUGUUGUGAAAGCCCCGGGCUCAACCUGGGAAUGGCAAUGGAUACUGGACAGCUAGAGUGCGGUAGAGGGUAGUGGAAUUCCCGGUGUAGCAGUGAAAUGCGUAGAGAUCGGGAGGAACACCAGUGGCGAAGGCGGCUACCUGGACCAGCACUGACACUGAAGCACGAAAGCGUGGGGAGCAAACGGG
rnacentral:rRNA from 1 species